rnacentral:rRNA from 1 species
CCUACGGGAGGCAGCAGUGAGGAAUAUUGGUCAAUGGACGAGAGUCUGAACCAGCCAAGCAGCGUGAAGGAUGAAUGCCCUCUGGGUUGUAAACUUCUUUUAUAUGGGAAUAAAAUGUUUCACGUGUGGGAUUUUGUAUGUACCAUAUGAAUAAGGAUCGGCUAACCCCGUGCCAGCAGCCGCGGUAAUACGGAGGAUACGAGCGUUAUCCGGAUUUGUUGGGUUUAAAGGGAGCGUAGGUGGAUUGUUAAGUCAGUUGUGAAAGUUUGCGGCUCAACCGUAAAAUUGCAGUUGAAACUGGCAGUCUUGAGUACAGUAGAGGUGGGCGGAAUUCGUGGUGUAGCGGUGAAAUGCGUAGAUAUCACGAAGAACUCCGAUUGCGAAGGCAGUUCACUGGACUGCAACUGACACUGAGGCUCGAAAGUGUGGGUAUCAAACAGGAUUAGAUACCCCUGUAGUC